rnacentral:rRNA from 1 species
GGCCGCGGGAAUUCGAUUCAGGCCUAACACAUGCAAGUCGAGCGGCAGCGGGAAAGUAGCUUGCUACUUUUGCCGGCGAGAAAAAAACGGGUGAGUAAUGCCUGGGAAAUUGCCCAGUCGAGGGGGAUAACAGUUGGAAACGACUGCUAAUACCGCAUACGCCCUACGGGGGAAAGCAGGGGACCUUCGGGCCUUGCGCGAUUGGAUAUGCCCAGGUGGGAUUAGCUAGUUGGUGAGGUAAUGGCUCACCAAGGCGACGAUCCCUAGCUGGUCUGAGAGGAUGAUCAGCCACACUGGAACUGAGACACGGUCCAGACUCCUACGGGAGGCAGCAGUGGGGAAUAUUGCACAAUGGGGGAAACCCUGAUG